rnacentral:rRNA from 1 species
UACGGGGGGGGCAAGCGUUGUUCGGAAUUACUGGGCGUAAAGGGCUCGUAGGCGGCCAACUAAGUCAGACGUGAAAUCCCUCGGCUUAACCGGGGAACUGCGUCUGAUACUGGAUGGCUUGAGUUUGGGAGAGGGAUGCGGAAUUCCAGGUGUAGCGGUGAAACGCGUAGAUAUCUGGAGGAACACCGGUGGCGAAGGCGGCAUCCUGGACCAAUACUGACGCUGAGGAGCGAAAGCCAGGGGAGCAAACGGG